rnacentral:rRNA from 1 species
UGGCUCAGAACGAACGCUGGCGGCAUGCCUAACACAUGCAAGUCGAACGAAGCCUUCGGGCUUAGUGGCGCACGGGUGCGUAACGCGUGGGAAUCUGCCCUUGGGUUCGGAAUAACAGUUAGAAAUGACUGCUAAUACCGAAUGAUGUCUUCGGACCAAAGAUUUAUCGCCCAAGGAUGAGCCCGCGUCGGAUUAGCUAGUUGGUGAGGUAAAAGGCUCACCAAGGCGACGAUCCGUAGCUGGUCUGAGAGGAUGAUCAGCCACACUGGGACUGAGACACGGCCCAGACUCCUACGGGAGGCAGCAGUGGGGAAUAUUGGACAAUGGGCGAAAGCCUGAUCCAGCAAUGCCGCGUGAGUGAUGAAGGCCUUAGGGUUGUAAAGCUCUUUUACCCGGGAUGAUAAUGACAGUACCGGGAGAAUAAGCCCCGGCUAACUCCGUG